rnacentral:rRNA from 1 species
GAUGAACGCUGGCGGCGUGCCUAAUACAUGCAAGUCGAGCGAACGGACGAGAAGCUUGCUUCUCUGAUGUUAGCGGCGGACGGGUGAGUAACACGUGGAUAACCUACCUAUAAGACUGGGAUAACUUCGGGAAACCGUAGCUAAUACCGGAUAAUAUUUUGAACCGCAUGGUUCAAAAGUGAAAGACGGUCUUGCUGUCACUUAUAGAUGGAUCCGCGCUGCAUUAGCUAGUUGGUAAGGUAACGGCUUACCAAGGCAACGAUGCAUAGCCGACCUGAGAGGGUGAUCGGCCACACGGGAACGGAGCAACGGUCCAGACUCCUACGGGAGGCAGCAGUAGGGAAUCUUCCGCAAGGGGCGAAAGCCUGACGGAGCAACGCCGCGGGAGUAAUGAAGGUCUUGGGAUCGUAAAACUCUGUUAUUAGGGAGGAACAUAUGUGUAAGUAACUGUGCACAUCUUGACGGUACCUAAUCAGAAAGCCACGGCUAACUACGUG